GACGAACGCUGGCGGCGUGCCUAAUACAUGCAAGUUGAGCGCUGAAGGUUGGUACUUGUACCAACUGGAUGAGCAGCGAACGGGUGAGUAACGCGUGGGGAAUCUGCCUUUGAGCGGGGGACAACAUUUGGAAACGAAUGCUAAUACCGCAUAAAAACUUUAAACACAAGUUUUAAGUUUGAAAGAUGCAAUUGCAUCACUCAAAGAUGAUCCCGCGUUUUAUUAGCUAGUUGGUGAGGUAAAGGCUCACCAAGGCGAUGAUACAUAGCCGACCUGAGAGGGUGAUCGGCCAAAUUGGGACGGAGACACGGCCCAAACUCCUACGGGAGGCAGCAGUAGGGAAUCUUCGGCAAUGGACGAAAGUCUGAACGAGAAACGCCGCGGGAGUGAAGAAGGUUUUCGGAUCGUAAAACUCUGUUGGUAGAGAAGAACGUUGGUGAGAGUGGAAAGCUCAUCAAGUGACGGUAACUACCCAGAAAGGGACGGCUAACUACGUG
rnacentral:rRNA from 1 species